UGGGGGAUAUUGCACAAUGGGGGAAACCCUGAUGCAGCGACGCCGCGUGGAGGAAGAAGGUUUUCGGAUUGUAAACUCCUGUCGUUAGGGACGAUAAUGACGGUACCUAACAAGAAAGCACCGGCUAACUACGUGCCAGCAGCCGCGGUAAAACGUAGGGUGCAAGCGUUGUCCGGAAUUACUGGGUGUAAAGGGAGCGCAGGCGGGAAGACAAGUUGGAAGUGAAAACCAUGGGCUCAACCCAUGAAUUGCUUUCAAAACUGUUUUUCUUGAGUAGUGCAGAGGUAGAUGGAAUUCCCGGUGUAGCGGUGGAAUGCGUAGAUAUCGGGAGGAACACCAGUGGCGAAGGCGGUCUACUGGGCACCAACUGACGCUGAGGCUCGAAAGCAUGGGUAGCAAACAG
rnacentral:rRNA from 1 species